rnacentral:rRNA from 1 species
AGAAUAGACUACCCAGGUAGUCCACGCCCUAAACGAUGCGAACUGGAUGUUGGGUACAUUACGGUACUCAGUGUCGAAGCUAACGCGUUAAGUUCGCCGCCUGGGGAGUACGGUCGCAAGACUGAAACUCAAAGGAAUUGACGGGGGCCCGCACAAGCGGUGGAGUAUGUGGUUUAAUUCGAUGCAACGCGAAGAACCUUACCUGGCCUUGACAUCUGUCGAAUCCUGCAGAGAUGCGGGAGUGCCGCAAGGAACGACAAGACAGGUGCUGCAUGGCUGUCGUCAGCUCGUGUCGUGAGAUGUUGGGUUAAGUCCCGCAACGAGCGCAACCCUUGUCCCUAGUUGCCAGCACGUAAUGGUGGGAACUCUAGGGAGACUGCCGGUGACAAACCGGAGGAAGGUGGGGAUGACGUCAAGUCCUCAUGGCCCUUACGGCCAGGGCUACACACGUACUACAAUGGUCGGUACAGAGGGUUGCGAAGCCGCGAGGUGGAGCCAAUCCCAGAAAACCGAUCCCAGUCCGGAUCGGAGUCUGCAACG